UGNUCUGUCACUGACGCUGAGGCUCGAAAGCGUGGGUAGCGAACAGGAUUAGAUACCCUGGUAGUNCACGCCGUAAACGCUGAGUGCUAGGUGUUAGGUCCUUUCCGGGACUUAGUGCCGACGCUAACGCAUUAAGCACUCCGCCUGGGGAGUACGACCGCAAGGUUGAAACUCAAAGGAAUUGACGGGGGCCCGCACAAGCGGUGGAGCAUGUGGUUUAAUUCGAAGCAACGCGAAGAACCUUACCAGGUCUUGACAUCCCGAUGCCCGCUCUAGAGAUAGAGUUUUACUUUUUGUACAUCGGAGACAGGUGGUGCAUGGUUGUCGUCAGCUCGUGUCGUGAGAUGUUGGGUUAANNNNNNCAACGAGCGCAACCCUUAUUGUUAGUUGCCAUCAUUAAGUUGGGCACUCUAGCGAGACUGCCGGUAAUAAACCGGAGGAAGGUGGGGAUGACGUCAAAUCAUCAUGCCCCUUAUGACCUGGGCUACACACGUGCUACAAUGGUUGGUACAACGAGUCGCAAGCCGGUGACGGCAAGCUAAUCUCUGAAAGCCAAUCUCAGUUCGGAUUGUAGGCUGCAACUCGCCUACAUGAAGUCGGAAUCGCUAGUAAUCGCGGAUCAGCACGCCGCGGUGAAUACGUUCCCGGGCCUNG
rnacentral:rRNA from 1 species